rnacentral:rRNA from 1 species
CCUACGGGAGGCAGCAGUAGGGAAUAUUGCUCAAUGGGGGAAACCCUGAAGCAGCAACGCCGCGUGGAGGAUGAAGGUUUUCGGAUUGUAAACUCCUUUUGUUAGAGAAGAUAAUGACGGUAUCUAACGAAUAAGCACCGGCUAACUCCGUGCCAGCAGCCGCGGUAAUACGGAGGGUGCAAGCGUUACUCGGAAUCACUGGGCGUAAAGAGCGCGUAGGCGGGAUAGCAAGUCAGAUGUGAAAUCCUAUGGCUUAACCAUAGAACUGCAUUUGAAACUGUUAUUCUAGAGUAUGGGAGGGGUAGGUGGAAUUCUUGGUGUAGGGGUAAAAUGCGUAGAGAUCAAGAGGAAUACUCAUGGCGAAGGCGACCUGCUAGAACAUAACUGACGCUGAUGCGCGAAAGCGUGGGGAGCAAACAGGAUUAGAUACCCCGGUAGUC